rnacentral:tRNA from 2 species
UGCAGUGUAGCUUAAAUGGUAAAGCCCCAAGUUCAUACCUUGGUAAAUGCGGGUUCAAAUCCCGCUACUGCCACCA